GAUGAACGCUGGCGGCGUGCCUAAUACAUGCAAGUCGAGCGAACGGACGAGAAGCUUGCUUCUCUGAUGUUAGCGGCGGACGGGUGAGUAACACGUGGAUAACCUACCUAUAAGACUGGGAUAACUUCGGGAAACCGGAGCUAAUACCGGAUAAUAUUUUGAACCGCAUGGUUCAAAAGUGAAAGACGGUCUUGCUGUCACUUAUAGAUGGAUCCGCGCUGCAUUAGCUAGUUGGUAAGGUAACGGCUUACCAAGGCAACGAUGCAUAGCCGACUUGAGAGGGUGAUCGGCCACACUGGAACUGAGACACGGUCCAGACUCCUACGGGAGGCAGCAGUAGGGAAUCUUCCGCAAAGGGCGAAAGCCUGACGGAGCAACGCCGCGUGAGUGAUGAAGGUCUUCGGAUCGUAAAACUCUGUUAUUAGGGAAGAACAUAUGUGUAAGUAACUGUGCACAUCUUGACGGUACCUAAUCAGAAAGCCACGGCUAACUACGUG
rnacentral:rRNA from 1 species